CUUGGACUUCCACCUGGACAAUACUUAGGCUUCCUCGCCUACUUCAACAGAGUGUCCAACUGUGGCGUGGUUGGUAGAAAUGAACUGAGGGCGAUCCUGGAGCGCGCUGGCAGGGAUCCGAGCGAAAGCGAGAUUCAGAGAAUCCUAGACAGUGUCAGCGUUGAUUCUCGAGGAAUCAACUUCCAGGCUUUCAUAGAUUACGUGCGUACUUUCCAGCAGCUGCGUAAUGUUGAAUCUGAGUACAGAGAGGCCUUCCGUAUCUAUGAUCGCAGUGGAGCCGGAAAACUCACACAGGAGGACGUCGCUUACGUCUUUAAGAAGCUGCGCGUCGACGUUGACGUCCCAGCGCUCUUCAAGGUGGCCGAUGCUGACAACAACGGCACAAUUGAGUACAACGAAUUCGUUGAUCUCAUGAACAAGACCUUGUAAAGAUUUCUCAGGAAUCAUGUAACAGACCUAACCUUUUCUAAGACCUUGGGCAGCGGAUGGAUGUUUUUUUUCAUUUUCUUUUUUUUUUAACAAAAAUUUAUUUGCUUACUCGGUAUACAAUCUGCAUCAGGGGCAGCGGGUUUGUACUAAAGAUAAGUAAAUAGAUUCGGAACAUUUUUCCUGUACAGAAGUGGCAAUAAAUAAGAACUG